AUGCGCACAGCUCGGGCGCGCAGUCCGGGGUUAGGCAGGCUGCAGUGGAGGAGGGUACGCCGUUCCAUUGGCGUGGUACUGUCGGCGGCCCUUCAGAGGAGAUGCUGCCCCACGGAACGCCUGGCAAGUGCUGGCGAAGCGGCAUGGGCGUCCCACUCCGUUCCUCAACCAAUUUCCUCACAAUCGCGAGCCGAAGUGUGGCGCUUUGGCAGUUUCGCAAGGUCUUUUGUCAGGAGAUGAGUUACUGAGGAUUGGGGGUCUUUGGAGCUCUUGGACCUGAAGAACGAUUAAGUUUUUCUCCCUUCAGAGAGCCAAGAGAUGGGGUCUUGCUGUGUUGCCCAGGGUGGAGUGCAGUGGCUAUUCACAGGUGUGAUCAUAGCUACUAUAGCCUCAAACCCUGGGUUCAAGUGAGUCCUUUGAACUAGAACAUUGGCCUUUUCUGGUUCUGCAGAAGCUUCCAGCCUUCAGAUUUGAACUGGGACACUGGCUCUGCAGAUUUUGGACUUGCCAGCCUUCAUAAUUGUAACCUACACUCCUGUCAUUUGUGGAAUGAUUGCUGGAGCCAGAGGCCAGGAAGAAGUUCAUGAGCCUGAGAGAAAAAGCAAGGAUUUCCAGUUCUACCCUGUAAGUCACUGAGCUCACUGAGCUUCAUUUUUCUUAUCCAUCAAAUGGGGAUAUUGAUUUUUUUUUUUUUUUUGAGACCAAGUUUCAUUCUUGUCACCCAGGCUGGAGUACAGUGGCGUGCUCUCGUCUCACUGCUACCUCUGGCUUCCGGGUUCGAGUGAUUCUCCUACCUCAGCCUCCUGAGUAACUGGGAUUACAAGUGUGUACCACCAUG
rnacentral:lncRNA from 1 species